CAGUCUGCCAUCAGCAAGCUGGAGACCCAGAAAAGCCAGUGGUGUAAUUCAGUCUGAGCCCAAAGGCCUGAGAACCUGGGAGCCGAUUGUGGGAGCUGAGGGCAGGAAAUGUCUGAGGGCAGAAGAAGAUGGGGGGAGAUGCCCAGCUUCCACGUCCGGGGCAGAGAAAAGGGGCGAGUUCUUCCGUUUUCUGCCCUUUGUUCCUUUCAGGCCCUCAGUGGAUUGGAUGAGGCCCACGCACUUUCGGGAGGAAAACCGGCUUUACUGAGCCCAUUAAUUCAAAUGCCAGUCUCUUCUGGAAACACCCUCACAGACGCACCCAGAAGUAAGAUGUAAUCCGGCCAACCCACGGCCCGGUCGGUCGAGCUGACACAAGAUUGAGUUCACCAUCACGUACAGCCUUUAAAACAGCAUCCCGAAGUAUUUGGAGCGUUUAGCACCGGAGUGGACAGCUUAUCACCUGCUGAUAAGAGAAACAAGCCACGUGAAGGGAGACAGCAGAGAAGGCUGCAGACAGUCUGUGCAACUUUUACUCGCGCUUGCUUCUGGGUUACGGAUCAUCCGUUAUUGUUCUUACAUUUCUUUACAUUUUUCUGCAUUUGCCGUACUUUUCCGCAAUGAACGGGGAUCGCUGUGAUGAGGAAAGGAAGGAAGAAAGCAAACCCCGGGGGCUCAGGCAGUACUGGAAUCUCUUCGCCGCCCAGAAGAAUCAGUUCAGGGGGUGCCUCCACACCUCGGGCCGUGGCCAUGUGGCUGUCCUCUUCCUGUAGACCCUCAGCUGGACCAGCGGCCACAUCCCCCUCCUCAGUGACCCCUCAGGCAGGGGAGAAUCAAGGCAGUUUCCCUGAGAGGCCCUUGACCAUGGCGAGUUCCUACGACUGCGGCCACCACACUAAGACCGAGCCAUCUUCCACCUCCUGGAGUCUCUCUGGAUGGCCAACGUGAGCUGCCAGGGAAAAGUCACAGGCAAACAGGGCUCCCUGGCUGCCCAGGAGAAUGGCCAACAGGAUGGAACUAGGGCUGCAGAGGAAGGACUUUGGACAAGACCCUGUAUCCUUUUUGCAGCAUCCUAGAUGGCCAGCUGUGGGGCAAGCUGCUCGCCUGGGCAAGGUUGCCGGGCAAGCAAGCCGGGCUGGGGGCUUGUGAAGUUGGCAAUAGGCAAUAGGAGGAAGAAGAAGAGAUCCUGGUGAGUAUAAUCAGUAGAACGGAGCAGAAACAGGAGUGACCUGGGGCCUCCCACCUCUCCCACCCCUUCUCCCCCCUCCUCCCCCCACCUCCCAGGCCCCAGGGGAGGGGAUUGCCAGAUUUAGCAAAUCAAAAUACGGGGUGCCCAGUUGAAUGUGAAUUACAGAUAAACAAUAGAUCAUUUUUUAGUACAAGUAUAUCCCAGACAAACAACAGAGAAAUAUUGCAUGGGACAUACUCCUGCUAAAUACAUCUACUGGUAAACUUUUAGACCUGAGUGUAGGGUAAUAUUUCUGUGGGCAGGAGCCUUUCAAAUAUCCCUUCAAAUCUUAAUGCUCAGAUGAAAAAUUGCUCGUUUGCUAUGCUCGGAUUAUUAUAUUAUUAUUAUUGCUUGGUUUGCCUGCUGACAGCAACGGUGUGCGAUAAUAAUAGGAUCGCUCACAGACUUGUAGUGAGAUUGAAAUGAGUUCAAUAUAAAGCACUUCUUAGAGGUUCUGGAGUCUUCAGGGUUCAACGAGCUAAGGAAAAAGGAGGAGGCUUUGCAGGGAGCUGUAGGCAGGCAGGGACCUGCCCACCAGACCCCAGGUGAUGGGCACCUGCCUCCCCUGCUAGUGGCCGACAUUCAGUUCCGGGUGGGGCGGUGGGGGCGGGGACGGGAAAGAGGGCCAGAAGCGCGCGUGUCUGCAGCGCGGGGCUGGCCUGGGACGAGGCAAAGGGACCUGAGGGCCUGCGCGGGGGUGCGUCUACCCCCCCUUCGCCCCAUCUGCUUCGCUGGACUCUGCGUUGCUGACUCAAGGGAAGAAAGGAAAAAGAGAAAGGAGGGGGCGGGGGGGAGGGGCAGACAAAACCAACAACAAAGGGAAAUUUGCUGAGCCGGUGGAAUUCUCUCCCUGGACCCAGCACGUUAGUGAGCAUCUGGGAAGGAGCCCGUCUGGUGGCGGUGCGUUUAGCACCCGCACCUCUGGAGUCCAGGGGCAGGACCGGGAUCUGGAGGAAGACCUGUAUAAGGAGAGGCCUGAGCCCCUCCCGGACAAGGUCAGAGGACCAGAGACUGCCACCCACUUCCUGCCGUCUGGCCCUAGAAAGGGGCAGAGGGUGGGCUCCGUGAAGAGAGGGAUGGGGGCGCCGCAAAGGCAUUUCUGGAAAUGAUAAAUCUCCUCCGGGAUAGAAAGAAAAAAGGGGCGCCUGGCUGGGUCAGUUGGUUGGGA